ACGGAAGGCAGCAGUGAGGAAUAUUGGUCAAUGGACGGAAGUCUGAACCAGCCAAGUCGCGUGAAGGAUGAAGGUAUUAUGUAUUGUAAACUUCUUUAGCAGUGGAGUAAUAAGGGGAUCGCGAUCCCUGAUGCAAGUACACUGAGAAUAAGGAUCGGCUAACUCCGUGCCAGCAGCCGCGGUAAUACGGAGGAUCCGAGCGUUAUCCGGAUUUAUUGGGUUUAAAGGGUGCGUAGGCGGCCCCUUAAGUCGGCGGUGAAAUUUCCGGGCUCAACCCGGUCACUGCCGUCGAAACUGGGGGGCUUGAGUGCGUUUGGGGUGGCUGGAAUGUGCGGUGUAGCGGUGAAAUGCAUAGAUAUCGCACAGAACGCCGAUCGCGGAGGCAGGUCACCAAGCCGCAACUGACGCUGAGGCACGAAAGCGCGGGGAUCGAACAGGAUUAGAUACCCUGGUA
rnacentral:rRNA from 1 species